AGUAUGUCUAUAGAUUUCAUGUUUUAUUUGGCAGAGAAAAGUCCCACUGUACAAGGCAGACUUAAAAGGAUUUGAACAUAAGGAGAAGAGUCUGAUGCAUUUGCUUUUCUUCUCAGGGAGAAGAAUCCCUGACUUCAGAACCCCUGAGGUCCUGCAAGUGAUUUGUAUUAGAGCAUCCCUGCAGUUGACUGUCUGACAGUCACCAGAUGCUGGAUUGAUCUGCAAGUGCCAGAAGUGCACAAAGACAUCACUCCAGCAAGAAAGAGCUCUGGGCUGGAGUGUGACUCCAGCGCCCUGGAGGACUGGCUGUGUUUAUGUCCUGUCUGAAGCCUUUAAAAAUACCGUAUAGACAUGUGAGAAACCAGUUUACUUGACUCCUAUUUAAAAAAAGAAGGAAAAGAAAACUCACGUUUCUGCUUGACUUAGAGAUAGCACCCAGCGUGCCGGGAGACGAGGAAGCUACAUCACCAACAUUUCCCACUGUUAGCAUCAGGGUGUUAGCUGGUCGUUUUCCCUUCAGCACCAAUUAAUGUUCACCUGGAUGUUUUGAUUUGGAUACUUUUGAAAUCUCUUCUGUCAAGGUACUACUUAGCAGUUUAGGUGCUACAAGAAACUGGCUAUAUUUAUGUCUAAAAAGUUUUACAGUGCCUUUUAAAAUGUUCUCACCAAAGCACUCAAGAUUGUAUCAGCAGUAAGUAUGUCAUCCACAUGAAUAUCCGUGGAGUCUCACCGUGAAUAACGUGAUUAAGGAGCAUAAUGUGUGGACGCCCAGCCCAUCGGGAGCUUCAUCAGCCUGAGUCUUUAGGUGAGUUCCCCGGAGGGAGCAUCAUCAACACCCUUCAAGACAGCCUCUGUCUUGCCCAAGUAUUUUUUC